CCAGGAUCAUGCCCUGAGCCAAAGGCAGAUGCUCAAAUGCUGAGCCACCCAGGGAUCCCUGUCUUUACGUCUUAUCAUAAUCUUGUGCAAAUUUAAUUUUCCCUAUCAGACCAGAAGCUUCCAGAAGACAGGCCCAUGUGACCUUAGGUGUAGAUCAAUGCUGAUUGCCCAUAACUAUUCGCCGGAAGAAUAACUCAAAGCAUCAGAGCGCACCAGACGAAGCCUAGUUCUGGUGCCCCCUCGCCAACGCCUUGGAUUACUGUGUGACUUUGCUAUGCUAGCUAAACUUCUCUGCGUGUCAGGGUCUCUCCAGUCACUGCAACAAUUCUUUGUCCUAUGGGGCUCAUGGAAGCCCCCAAUUAGAAUCUUUCAGGUGGUUUUCAAUUUACAUUUUCUGUGAAAUUUUACAGAAAUUUUUUUUACAGGUAAAUCAGUGUCACCUAAUUGUAAUUAGGUAAGAUACUGAUUCACCACUUUGCAAUGGGCCAGGUAUAGCUGAGUGCUUUAGAGGCACUAUCUCAUUUAAUCCUCCUAAAAACAAAACUAUGAAAUAGGUACUAUUAUUUUCGUUUCUUGAGAGGGGAGGGUCCUUCACUGGGAAGGCCUCCUUCCCAUCAGGCCUCACCUGCUGAGCUCUCCUGGCAGAGUAUGAGCUCCCCUCACCAGGGGUCCAACAAGGCCCAGAGGUAGUGACUGCCUAUUCAAGAAGUAGGCCUGCCUUAGAGGGGCUUGGAGGGCUACUCUCCACUCCUCUUCCCUUCCCUUCCCGGGUGUUAUCCCUCCCAGGAAAGCUCUGGCUGGAACACACUUUCCCCAGCACAGAGCCACUCUGUGAGAUUCUUCAGGGCUCGAAUCAAAGAUAAGGAGGAACCAUCUUAUAGAUACUUCUAUGUACCAGGCGCUGUUUUAAGUCUCUAAUGUGCAUUAACUCAUUAACUCUCCCAACAAUCCUAGGAAGUAGAUGCUAUUAUUUUCUCUGCCUUACAGGUGAGGCUACUGAGCAAAGAAGAUAGGUCACUCGUCCCUGGUUAGUAAGUGGCAGAACUGAGGUCUGAACCAGCGCGGUUGAGCUCCAAAUACAAGUGCAGGGCCUCAAUGCCAUAUCAGAGAUGCCUCACACAUACAGGGCUGUGUUCCCAGCCCCCUGGUAUGUGACAGGGCCCGCAUGUGUGACUUAGGGAUGGGUGAGCAUGUGGUUGCACGGCCACAUCCACGGCCGGCCAAGUCCUGGGAUCCACACCCAGCAUUGGGGGAGAGACCCUCUGGACACAGAAGCUCUGACCAGGACACUGAUUCUCACCUGCCCUGCUGUGUAACAAACACUCGCUCCAUCCAUCUUUCCCUGGCUGAAGAAGAAACUUGGGAAGGAUUAGAGGCAAACUGGCACAAACCUGUGCAGAGUCCAUUAGCACCAAGAGCAAUAGCUGCAUGUGCUGCAUGCCAUCAAGCGGGGCUGCUGCUGAUGCCCGUUUUAAAGGCAGGGGGAUGGAGCCUCGGAGAGGAUGGUCAGCACCCGGAUUUUACCCCAGUUCGCCUAACCCCAGGUUCUAGAGCACCUUGCUUCUCAGAUUGCAAAACACCCCCACACUGGCAUCACAUUUAAUGCUUGCCACCACUCCCAUCUUUGACAGGAGGGGGAGGACAGGCCUGGAGCAGCAGCUGGCACUAAACCUUUGCCUGAUGCUGAACCCCGGGCCUCCAUAGCUCCCCCACCAUGCUGCCCUCCCUGUGUGAGGCCUUCAGGAAGGGGUCCUGGGGGAGGGGGGCCAUGCUCCUCUCCUGUCUGCAGGUCCCUUGGAUCCCCCCCCAUGUGCUGAGUGAGGCCCUUGUCCCCGUUCUGACACCUCUCUCCACUCAGCCCUGAGGUGGGGACUCCAGCUGACAUGCUGCAGUCUGAAAUAUACAGCAAAAGGCAGAGGAAGAUGUCCCCACAACUCCUGUCCAGUGGCUCCCAAGGCCCCCUCCCUCUGUUUCCCCCUCAUAAGAUUCACUCCUGCCCUCCAUGGCACCCCUGGGCACUGGCUCCCCUGAGCCCAAUCACUUCAUAUGGAGAAUGGGUAUUCACUGCCCACCUGGCCCUUGGACUUGGGAGGGUCUGGAAGGCCAGACCACAUGCUGGUUUGGCUCUAGGGCCCAGGGUGAGCACAAGGCAAGGGCAGCACCCUGAGGGAGUAUCUGCUGAGGGAGGGAAGGAAGGAGAAAGGGAAAGGGAAAGGGAAAGGGAAAGGGAAAGGGAAAGGGAAAGGGAAAGGGAAAGGGAAAGGGAAAGGAAAGGAAAGGAAAGGAAAGGAAAGGAAAGGGGCAGGGAGGAAGGAGGGAGAAGGAGGGAGGAGGAGGGAGGAAGGAAAGAGGGGGGAGGGAGGGAGGGAGGAGGAGGGAGGAAGGAAAGAGGGAGGAAGGAAGAAGGAAGGAGGGAGGGAGGGAGGGAGGGAGGGAGGAAGGAAGGAGGAAGGAAGGAAGGAGGGAGGAGGGAGGGAAGAAAGGAAAGAAGCAAGGAAGGAAGGAAAGCAAGGAAGGAAGAGGGAGGGAGGGAAGAAAGGAAAGAAGGAAGGAAGGAGGAGGGAGGAGGAAGGUGAAGGGCAUCCUAGGUGGAAGCAGCAGCCUGGGCAAGUGCGUGGAGGCAGGGAUAUACGUGGCUGAAUCCUGAAGGCUGUGCUGUGGGGAGGGAAGGGAAGGGGGUUCUACAGCACAGCAGGCAGAGGACCCUAAAAGGGCGCUGUCAUAUGGGAAGGACCACGGACUGGACCUGUAUUCUGACAGCAGCAGGAGCCCCUAGAAGUAUCUGCUAUGGUUGAGAAAGAUCACUCUGGUAGUGUGGCCCAUGCUGGGAGGGGGCAGGAUGGAGGCAGGGAGGCCAGGAGGCCCAGCCUCUUCCGUCACCAUUCUUUCUGAGCUAGUUCCUCCUGUCUUGGCCACUGUACAUGCCACAUCCGUUUCAAGCUCCAAACACUUGCUGGUACGUUCCCUCUGGCAGGAGUGCCCCCUCUUUUUCUUACUUACCCAUGCUGGAAGCACCUGCUCCAAGCUCCCUCUUCCGUGAAGCCCCUGCCUCCAUAAGGCUCCCAACUCUGGUCAAGACUGAAUCCUAAGGCUCAAGUUAUCUGUCCCACUCAUCUCGGAAAUGGAUUGUACACUGUCUCCCUCUGCUCUUCUUCACAUGGACAAGUCUUACCACAGAUGCUGCCCUAGCUCUCUUGAUCUUAUUAUCCCCAUAACACCUUCAUGAACUGGGGGACUUGUUUUCUGCCUGAAACUU
rnacentral:lncRNA from 1 species